AUUGAACGCUGGCGGCAGGCUUAACACAUGCAAGUCGAGCGGGGUGAUGGUGCUUGCACUAUCACUUAGCGGCGGACGGGUGAGUAAUGCUUAGGAAUCUGCCUAGUAGUGGGGGACAACAUCUCGAAAGGGAUGCUAAUACCGCAUACGUCCUACGGGAGAAAGCAGGGGAUCACUUGUGACCUCGCGCUAAUAGAUGAGCCUAUGUCGGAUUAGCUAGUUGGUGGGGUAAAGGCCUACCAAGGCGACGAUCUGUAGCGGGUCUGAGAGGAUGAUCCGCCACACUGGGACUGAGACACGGCCCAGACUCCUACGGGAGGCAGCAGUGGGGAAUAUUGGACAAUGGGGGGAACCCUGAUCCAGCCAUGCCGCGUGUGUGAAGAAGGCCUUAUGGUUGUAAAGCACUUUAAGCGAGGAGGAGGCUCUUUUGGUUAAUACCCAAGAUGAGUGGACGUUACUCGCAGAAUAAGCACCGGCUAACUCUGUGCCAGCCGCCGCCGUAA
rnacentral:rRNA from 1 species